UGGUUACUCUGAUGAAUUAACAAGGACAGUAUCCGAGUAAGGUAGCUCUUGAAAAGGCGCUCCCUCAUUGAUUAUACAUCCUCAAUUAUCAUAUUUUCUGAGCAAAUA